GACGAACGCUGGCGGCGUGCUUAACACAUGCAAGUCGAGCGGUAAGGCCCUUUCGGGGGUACACGAGCGGCGAACGGGUGAGUAACACGUGGGUGACCUGCCCUCAGCUCUGGGAUAAGCCUGGGAAACCGGGUCUAAUACUGGAUAUGACUCCAUGACGCAUGUUGUGGGGUGGAAAGCCUUGUGCGGCUGAGGAUGGGCCCGCGGCCUAUCAGCUUGUUGGUGGGGUGAGGCCUACCAAGGCGACGACGGGUAGCCGGCCUGAGAGGGCGACCGGCCACACUGGGACUGAGACACGGCCCAGACUCCUACGGGAGGCAGCAGUGGGGAAUCUUGCGCAAUGGGCGAAAGCCUGACGCAGCGACGCCGCGUGAGGGAUGA
rnacentral:rRNA from 1 species